rnacentral:tRNA from 1 species
UCAUCCUUAGCUCAGUUGGCAGAGCGUGCGGCUGUUAACUAGACAGCGCAAACGGAUGACCAUUUGAGGCCUCCUCAAUACAUCAACCGCAAGGUCGUCGGUUCGAUCCCGGCAGGAUGAG